ACUCGAGUAGGGCCCAAGCCAGCCAGGAAGGAGGAGGCAGCCAGAGUGUUCUCUGCAGCAGAAGACCCCUUGCUGCCCUGCUCAACCCAGACCAGCAUUUGCCAGAGAAAGACUAUGGGCAAAGCUGCACGAGUUAUCUUUGGAUAAGCGCUUGUUAGUGCUGAUUUACAAGCUUCAUGAGAACACCCGCCUAAGAGUCCGCCUGAGCGCACAGGGCCAAGUCUCGGCUGAAAUUCCCACUUCCAGAGGGUUGCUAGAUUUUCAGCUCACUCUGCAGCCAUCAGUCAUCAUUGCUACUGAGCACGCAAGAAAUAAGGUUGCAAGGUCCUGACCUAGAUUCUAGUCCACAGGAGCCAGCAUCAGAACAGAGAAAUUGGCCUCACUGCACUGCACUUGACUAAAAAAAAACUGCACACCAGAGUGCGUGAAGGUGUUAGAAGAGUAUGUGCGCUAGGACAAAGUUAUGAUCUCUCCCCUGAUGAGGAAGAACAGCCCAUAGUGAUGGCCUUAGCAACUUGACACAAACAGAAAAUCCAGAUCUCUUAGGAAUCAUUUCAAUACAUAAUCCCCUUGCUAAGCUUCUGAACGAUAGCAGUAUCUGGCAUGGCUCAAGUGCAACAGCAGAGAUUCAGACCGCCCAUACAAGCCUUGAUCUCAGCUAUGGGGAAACAAAGAAACAAAGAACAAACCGAAAAGCUGAGUGAUAAAUAGUGUAAAU